rnacentral:misc_RNA from 1 species
GUUUCGCUCCACACUUCUACUGCUCCGUUUGGGAAAACUUGUGUGGCCUUGAAAGCUCUGGACCAUUUUAAUUUAAACUUCCCUAGAAAGAGUUUCAAUCUAGAGUUGAAUAAGAGGACAAGAUCUCCUUCUUUUAUUUCUUUCCUUGCUAUGCGCCUGUCAUGUCAUCUCUUGGUUUUAUCCUUGAAAAUUUUGGCGUUUUCAUAUGCAUCCUGUUGGAUUUCUUCCAACUCAUUCAGUUAUAGGAGUCUUUUCUCACCAGCAACUUUGAGGUCAAAGUUUAGUACCUAAAUUGCCCAGUAAGCUUAUGCUCAAGUUCAACAGGGAGAUGGCAUGAUUUUCCAUAAACUAGUCGGAAGUGUGUUGUGUCAAUUGGGGUUUUAUAUGUAGUGCAGUAUGCCCAUAGUGCAUCAUCUAACUUCAUGCACCAGUCCUUUCUGGAUCUAUUUACAGUUUUCUCUAGAAUCUGCUUCAGUUCCCUAUUUGAGAUUUCUACUUGACCGCUGGUUUGAGGAUGAUAAGGUGUGGCCACCUUGUGAGUCACUCCAUACAUUUUCAGUAGUGUUUUGAACUGUUGGUUACAGAAGUGACUUCCUCCAUUACUGAUUAUUGCUCUCAGUGUGCCAAAUCUUAUAAAGAUGUUCUUCUUAAGGAACUUUGUAACCACUCUAGUAUCAUUGGUUAGUGUCGCAAUUGCUUCUACCCAUUUUGACACAUAAUCAACUCCAACCAGAAUAUACUUGUUUCCACGGGAAGAGGGAAAUGGGCUCAUGAAGUCUAUUCUCCAUACAUCAAACAAUUCUAUCUCGAGUAUACCAUGCAGUGGCAUUUCAUUCCUUCUUAAACUGUUGCUUGUUCUUUGGCAUUGAUCACAACCUAGCACAGAGGAUCUUACAUCCUUAAAUAAAUAUGGCCAGUAAAACCCUGCUUGCAAAAUCUUUGCUGUGGUAUUUAAGGUGCCGAAGUGUCCUCCAUAUAGUGAUGAAUGGCAAUGAUGAAUGAUACUUUCCAUAUCUUCCUCUGGUAUGUAUCUUCUUAUCAGCCCAUCAUUACAUCUCUUGUACAGUAGAGGUUCCUCUCAUAAAUAAUAUCUCACAUCAUGCAGGAAUUUCUUCCUUUGCUGAUAAGUCAUGUUUAGAGGCAGUACCCUGCAUACAAGAAAAUUAACAAAGUUAGUGUACCAUGGAGCUUUGGAGAGUGCAAGUAAUUGCUCAUCAAGAAAUGAAUCAUUAAUUCGAAAAUCUUUGAAGUCCUCUAUGUACUCCAAUUUUAGUCUGAAAAGAUGGUCAGCUACUAUAUUUUUGGAUCCUUUUUUGUCCUUGAUUUCAAGGUCAAAUUCUUGCAGGAAUAGAAUCCAUCAAAUCAGCCUUGAUUUUGCUUCCUUCUUAUUCAUAAGGUACCGGAUUGCAACAUGAUAUGUGAAUACAAUGACUUUUGACCCAAUGAGAUAAGAUCUAAACUUGUCCAUUGUAAACACUACUACUAGGAAUUCCUUCUCUGUGGUGGUAUAACUGAUUUGUGCAUCAUCGAGUGUCUUGCUAGUAUAAUAAAUAGCAUGGAGCUUUUUAUCUUUUCUUUGCCCGAGCACUACUCCAAC